rnacentral:rRNA from 1 species
CAAUAGCGUAUAUUAAAGUUGUUGCGGUAAAAAAGCUCGUAGUUGGAUUUCUACCGAAGAUAGCCGGUCGGGUCUUCGACCUUGUAUCUGGUUUUGUCUUUGGUAUCCUCAUAGGGAACGUUUCUGCGCUUUAUUGCGUGGUGUGGUAUCUAUGACUUUUACUUUGAGGAAAUUAGAGUGUUCACGGCAGGCAAACGCCUUGAAUAUAUUAGCAUGGAAUAAUAACAUAGGAUCUUCGUCCUAUUUUGUUGGUUUCUAGGGCUAAGAUAAUGAUUAAUAGGGAUAAUUGGGGGCAUCUGUAUCAACGCGUCAGAGGUGGAAUUCUUGGAUUGCGUUGCGACAAACUACUGCGAAAGCAUUUGCCAAGGAUGUUUUCAUUGA